GGAGAGGUGGCCGAGUGGUUGAAGGCGCACGCCUGGAAAGCGUGUAUACGCUAUCCGCGUAUCGAGGGUUCGAAUCCCUCUCUCUCCG
rnacentral:tRNA from 1 species